GGAGGGUGCAAACGUUGCUCGGAAUUACUGGGCGUAAAGCGCAUGCAGGCGGUCUGCAAAGUUUCGUGUGAAAGCCCUGGGCUCAACCCAGGAAGUGCACGAAAAACUGGCAGACUAGAGUACUGGAGAAGUGGGCGGAAUUCCCGGUGUAGAGGUGAAAUUCGUAGAUAUCGGGAGGAACACCAGUAGCGAAGGCGGUUCACUUGACAGAUACUGACGCUCAGAUGCGAAAGCGUGGGGGAGCAAACAGGAUUAGAUACCCUGGUAGUCCACGCCGUAAACGAUGGGCACUAGGUGUCGGGGGGCUUGACCCCUUCGGCGCCGCCGCUAACGCAUUAAGUGCCCCCGCCUGGGGACUACGGUCGCAAGACUA
rnacentral:rRNA from 1 species